UCCCAGCGUUUUCCUGCAGUUUCACCAUAUCUGUUGGUCGCGUCGGACUCAAGGGCUGUAGUUAUUGUAUAAUCAGUGGCUAUUAUAGCUAAUAAAGGUGCUCAACGUGUCAAAAGUUAUUUUCCAGCAUGGCAUCUUUAGCUCGACAUAUUCACAAACAAGGCAGAGAUAUUAGUGUGGGGAGAAUUGUAGUGGAAGAUCAUUGCAGCCACUGUCCCUAUUUUACCAAAUGGGGUCAAAUAGUCUACUCACAAUUGUUGCUGAAGAAAAGUCCUGAGUGAUCAAAUGUUAUCCUUCAGCUGUGAUGCAGUUAACGUUAUUGCUCACACUUGAACAGAGUAUUCCAGUCUGUCGGGAUAUUAUUUGAUAGAUUCACAGCCAAAGAAAUGGAUAAAACGAAAGAUUUACUGGAUUCAAGUUCUAUGUCAAGUCCAUCUAAUCCAAUACAUUGCAUUGGGUUUAUUUUACAAAAAAUGCAAAAACGAUGCUAAGACCCGGAAGAAUUCAGCCAUUAUUUAAUCCCGAACCGGACUGUUUGAUAAUUGACUCUAUGAUUGCAGUAAUGCAGAAAACAGAAUAUGGACGCCUAACCGUACCAUUGCCCAGUGUCCAAGCUGCUCGAAAUUGAAUUUAGAUUAAACUAUGCUCAUGAAGGUGUUACAGCCACAGUUUUUGAAAAUUUUAAUAUGGAAUCAUUUGGUAUCGCCCAAAAAGACACUAGCAUGCUGGACAUCUUGGAAAAAUAAGGUGCCAUCAAACAGAAUUUAUCCCUACAAAAACUGCUUAAAAAUAAAUGUAGAUGAAGAGCAUGAUCUCUUUUCACUUUAUUUUGCAAGGUAGUGCGUUUAGAUGUGAUUCCAGUUUUAUUUUUAUUACUUUAGCAGUAAUUAAACAAAGCAAUC